GCUCUGCAGAAGCGUGGGUCUCCGCCUGUGUAGCACUACGCUGGAAAUGGCUGUACAAACCUGGAUGGCGGCGGCCAGCACGCUGAACCUGAGGUUUCUAAACCACAGCCUCAAGUGAGUCGCACUUCCCCCACCUCAGUCCCUGAUGACAGCGACGUCACGUCGCCUGUGCUUGAAUCAACAACUCGGGUCUUAAAUGUUUUCCAUGUUGCGGGGCGAUCGACAGCAACUAAAGAAAUCAACGGUUUUAACCACAUAACUGGAACAUAACUGGCCGCCGUUAAAGCAAACGUGCUGGAAAGCUAAAAGGGCGCCAGAGAAUGAACUCAUCAAUUGAUCUGACACAAAUCACCCUGAAGUCAUUACGCUGAAGCCGACAUCGAUGUGUGCGACUCACUUUCACUGCAGCACACUCUGUAAUCCCAAAUCUCUGCAGAGCUAUUAAGACUUGGCCUCGCUGAAUGUUGCACGCUAUAAUAAUCAAUAAUCGAGCAUUGUAUCAAACCAAAACAUCAUCCAUGACGAGUUAAUGUAUGUUAUAGAUAUCCAAGCCUUCUGCAAGAAUUGAUUGAUUGAGCAAAGGCCAACUUUCAUCUGCAAGUUUCUUGAGCUCAAACACAAGAAUUGUGAGCAUCAAAGUAAGAAAAGUUCUGCCUCGCUGUGGGGAGGAAAGCAACGUUGGAUGGAACAAUGGAACUCUUGCGGUUUAGCAAAAUAAAUAAGAGUGAAAGAAGAAUGUAAACCUGAGUUGAGGUGAGGGACUCCCUCUUCUAGAACAUCUCAGAAGGAGCAGGAUGUGAUUGAUGGCCUGUGGGGGAGAGCGUGACACUCGGUGUACACAGAGGGUGUGAAGCACAGAGCGAGGCUGCAGGAACUAUUCAACGCGAUACCAGCGUGAAAGCUUCUUAGCCGGAGGAGACGAGCUUAGGAUGUUUACCAAAGGCCGAAUCAGCUGAUCAGCAGACUCCAGAGACACUUUAAAUCAUCUUAAGACAUCAUGGG
ensembl:lncRNA